GACGAACGCUGGCGGCGUGCCUAAUACAUGCAAGUCGAGCGAGCUUGCCUAGAUGAAUUUGGUGCUUGCAUCACAUGAAACUAGAUACAAGCGAGCGGCGGACCGGCGAGUAACACUUGGGUAACCUGCGCAAGACACUGGUAUUACACCUGGAAACUGAUUCUAAUAUCGGAUAACAACACUAGACGCAUGUCUUGUGUUUAAAAGAUGGUUCUGCUGUGCCUCUUGUAUGGACCUGCGUUGCAUUAGCUAGUUGGUAAGGCAACGGCUUACCAAGGCAAUGAGGCAUAGCCGAGUUGAGGGACUGAUCGGCCACAUUGGGACUGAGACACGGUCCAAACUCCUACGGGAGGCAGCAGUAGGGAAUCUUCCACAAUGGACGAAAGUCUGAUGGAGCAACGCCGCGUGAGUGAAGAAGGGUUUCGGAUCGUAAAGCUCUGUUGGUAGUGAAGAAAGAUAGAGGUAGUAACUGGCCUUUAUUUGACGGUAAUUACUUAGAAAGUCACGGCUAACUACGUG
rnacentral:rRNA from 1 species